AUUGAACGCUGGCGGCAGGCCUAACACAUGCAAGUCGAGCGGGGUUUUCGGACCUAGCGGCGGACGGGUGAGUAAUGCGUAGGAAGCUGCCCGAUAGAGGGGGAUACCAGUUGGAAACGACUGUUAAUACCGCAUAAUGUCUACGGACCAAAGUGUGGGACCUUCGGGCCACAUGCUAUCGGAUGCGCCUACGUGGGAUUAGCUAGUUGGUGAGGUAAUGGCUCACCAAGGCGACGAUCUCUAGCUGGUUUGAGAGGAUGAUCAGCCACACUGGAACGGAGACACGGUCCAGACUCCUACGGGAGGCAGCAGUGGGGAAUAUUGGACAAUGGGCGCAAGCCUGAUCCAGCCAUGCCGCGUGUGUGAAGAAGGCCUUCGGGUUGCAAAGCACUUUCAGCGAGGAGGAAGGGUGGUGUGUUAAUAGCACAUCAUUUUGACGUUACUCGCAGAAGAAGCACCGGCUAACUCUGUGCCAGCCGCCGCCGUAAAAC
rnacentral:rRNA from 1 species